CGGGACGGGUGAGUAAUGUCUAGGGAAACUGCCUGAUGGGAGGGGGAUACACUGGAAACGGUAGCUAAUACCGCAUAACGUCGCAAGACCAAAGAGGGGGACCUUCGGGCCUCUUGCCAUCGGAUGUGCCCAGAUGGGAUUAGCUAGUAGGUGGGGUAACGGCUCACCUAGGCGACGAUCCCUAGCUGGUCUGAGAGGAUGACCAGCCACACUGGAACUGAGACACGGUCCAG
rnacentral:rRNA from 1 species